AAUGAACGUUGGCGGCGUGGAUUAGGCAUGCAGGUCGCGCGAGAAGUUUCCUUCGGGAGACGGACAGCGGCGGAAGGGAGAGGAAUAAGUAGAAAUCUGCCCUCGGGACGGGGAUAGCGGCGGGAAACUGCCGGUAAUACCCGAUAACAUCUUUGGAUCAAAUGGUGUGAUUCCGCCUGAGGAUGAGUCUACUUCCUAUUAGCUAGUUGGUGUGGUAAUGGCUCACCAAGGCAACGAUGGGUAGCGGGUGUGAGAGCACGAUCCGCCUCACUGGGACUGAGACACUGCCCAGACACCUACGGGUGGCUGCAGUCGAGAAUCUUCGGCAAUAGGGGAAACCCUGACCGAGCGACGCCGCGUGCGGGAUGAAGGCCCUCGGGUUGUAAACCGCUGUCGUAAGGGAACAAAUCUAAGAGGGUACUCCCUUUUAGUUGAGUGAUCUUAGGAGGAAGGACGGGCUAAGUUCGUG
rnacentral:rRNA from 1 species